rnacentral:rRNA from 1 species
GACAGAGGGUGCAAACGUUGUUCGGAAUUACUGGGCGUAAAGCGCGUGUAGGCGGCAGGGGGUGUCGGAUGUGAAAUCCCACGGCUCAACCGUGGAAGUGCACUCGAAACUGCAUAGCUAGAGUCCUGGAGAGGAAGGUGGAAUGCUUGGUGUAGAGGUGAAAUGCGCAGAUAUCAGGAGGAACACCGGUGGCGAAGGCGGGUCUCUGGGCCGAUACUGACGCUGAGGAGCGAAAGCGUGGGGAGCGAACAGG